rnacentral:rRNA from 1 species
CCUACGGGAGGCAGCAGUGAGGAAUAUUCGUCAAUGGGCGGGAGCCUGAACCAGCCAAGUCGUGUGAGGGACGACGGUCCUAUGGAUUGUAAACCUCUUUUGUCGGGGAACAAAGGCGCCCACGGGUGGGCGGAUGAGUGUACCCGAAGAAAAAGCAUCGGCUAACUCCGUUCCAGAAGCCGCGGUAAUACGGAGGAUGCGAGCGUUAUCCGGAUUUACUGGGUGUAAAGGGCGUGCAGCCGGGAAGACAAGUCAGAUGUGAAAUCCCGCGGCUCAACCGCGGAACUGCAUUUGAAACUGGUUUUCUUGAGUACCGGAGAGGUCAUCGGAAUUCCUGGUGUAGCGGUGAAAUGUGUAGAUAUAAGGAAGAACACCAGUGGCGAAGGCGGAUGACUGGACGGCAACUGACGGUGAGGCGCGAAAGCGUGGGGAGCAAACAGGAUUAGAUACCCGAGUAGUC